rfam:Heterocephalus glaber contig2476, whole genome shotgun sequence.
AGAUGCGAGCAUGAUCUGGCUGUGACAUCUGUCACUUCAUUGAUUGCCAGGGUUGAUUUGGCUGAUCUGGUUGGCUAGGUGGGUGUUCCUUUCCUCCCUUACGGCUUCAUGUGUAUCCCUCCCAAAGCUGUGUGCUGGGUCAAAGAGGAUGACCACCCCAGUAGCUUCGAUCCCCUGCUAGAACCUCCAAACAAGCUCUCAAGAAUUUAAGAGAAGCAGAGAGGAGAGUACAAUCAAUUUGGUUUUGAUCAAUAAACAUGUAUU